CACUAGAGGAAGAGACGGCUAACUCUGUGCCAGCAGCCGCGGUAAUACAGAGGUCUCAAGCGUUGUUCGGAAUCACUGGGCGUAAAGGGUGCGUAGGCUGCACGGUAAGUCAGAGGUGAAAUCCCGGAGCUCAACUUCGGAAAUGCCUCCGAUACUGCCGUGCUUGAGGACUGGAGAGGAGAUUGGAAUUCACAGUGGAGCAGUGAAAUGCGUAGAUAUUGUGAGGAACACUAGUGGCGAAGGCGAAUCUCUGGACAGUACCUGACGCUGAGGCACGAAGGCCAGGGGAGCAAACGGGAUUAGAUACCCCGGUAGUCCUGGCAGUAAACGGUGCACGCUUGGUGUGGCGGGAAUCGACCCCUGCCGUGCCGGAGCCAACGCGUUAAGCGUGCCGCCUGGAAGUACGGUCGCAAGAUUAAAACUACAAA
rnacentral:rRNA from 1 species